AUUGGACGCUGGCGGCAGGCCUAACACAUGCAAGUCGAAUGGUAACAGGAAACAGCUUGCUGUUUCGCUGACGAGUGGCGGACGGGUGAGUAAUGUCUGGGAAACUGCCUGAUGGAGGGGGAUAACUACUGGAAACGGUAGCUAAUACCGCAUAACGUCGCAAGACCAAAGAGGGGGACCUUCGGGCCUCUUGCCAUCAGAUGUGCCCAGAUGGGAUUAGCUAGUAGGUGGGGUAACGGCUCACCUAGGCGACGAUCCCUAGCUGGUCUGAGAGGAUGACCAGCCACACUGGAACUGAGACACGGUCCAGACUCCUACGGGAGGCAGCAGUGGGGAAUAUUGCACAAUGGGCGCAAGCCUGAUGCAGCCAUGCCGCGUGUAUGAAGAAGGCCUUCGGGUUGUAAAGUACUUUCAGCGGGGAGGAAGGGAGUAAAGUUAAUACCUUUGCUCAUUGACGUUACCCGCAGAAGAAGCACCGGCUAACUCCGUG
rnacentral:rRNA from 1 species